rnacentral:rRNA from 1 species
UACGUAGAGUGCAAGCGUUGUCCGGAAUUAUUGGGCGUAAAGAGCUCGUAGGCGGUCUGUCGCGUCGGAUGUGAAACCUCGGGGCUCAACCCCGAGCCUGCAUUCGAUACGGGCAGACUAGAAUUCGGUAGGGGAGACUGGAAUUCCUGGUGUAGCGGUGAAAUGCGCAGAUAUCAGGAGGAACACCGGUGGCGAAGGCGGGUCUCUGGGCCGAUAUUGACGCUGAGGAGCGAAAGCGUGGGGAGCGAACAGG